UACGUAGGGGGCAAGCGUUGUCCGGAUUUAUUGGGCGUAAAGAGCGUGUAGGCGGUUUUACAGGUCCGCUGUGAAAACUCGAGGCUCAACCUCGAGCUGUCGGUGGAAACCAUCUGGCUAGAGUCCGGAAGAGGAGAGUGGAAUUCCUGGUGUAGCGGUGAAAUGCGCAGAUAUCAGGAAGAACACCCGUGGCGAAGGCGGCUCUCUGGGACGGUACUGACGCUGAGACGCGAAAGCCAGGGGAGCAAACGGG
rnacentral:rRNA from 1 species